GGUGGUUUUGCCAGUGGUUUAAGAAGGUGAAAAGUGUGUAAAAACUGUUGUUUUCUCAUUAAAUAUUGCCCAAAAGUUUCAAAAAACGUCCGAUGUUUCCAUAAUUUGCAUUAAUUAACAGUGAUCAGAACAUUUUUCCAGUCGAUAAAUCGAGUGACCGUCAGUGCGUGCUUAGUGCGCGAUUUUUUAAAUUUCAAGUGAUUAAAGUGCCAAUGGAAGGAAUCUUCAGGGAACCUGGACGCUAUAAUCGUGCUACAAGGAUCAGGAUUAAAGGUAGGUCCGUUCAAAGAAGAAGAGGGAACGAAGAGGAGGCCAGGGUGAGUGAAUUUUAAUUUUUUCUAAGUGUGGUGAAGUGUGUGAAGUGAAAAUGUGAGUGUAACAUUUUAGAACGCAGUAAGUAUUUAUAAGUAUCGAAAUAUGAGUGAAAAUUAAUUAAUUAAUUGUAGAUGAAACGCAAUUUUCUCCAAUCUUUUGAAGAAAAUCCAGAUAUUUGACGAAGCAUCUCUUAAAUAAUGAAGAAAAACAUUCACAGCAAGCUCGAGACUAAGUAUAUUAUGACUCGAGUGACUGAAAGUGCGUGUUGUGGAUUUUUGAGUGUUUAACAGACAUUUAGUAGUGCGCGAUUUUUUAAAUUUCGAGUGAUUAAAAUGCCAAUGGAGGGGAUCUUCAGGGAACCUGGACGCUAUAAUCGUGCUACAAGGAUCAGGAUUAAAGGGUUAGUUGUCAAAGUUUUUUUUAUAAAAAAAAAUUAAGUAUAAAUCUGUAACGUUAUACAUAAAUUUAUUUAUCAAAAAUUUUUAUACUGAUCUUGUAUUUUUUUAUUUUCAGUAGGUCCGUUCUAAGAAGAAGAGGGAACGACGAGGAGGCCAGGGUGAGUGAAUUUUAAUUUUUUUCUAAGUGCGGUGAAGUGUGUGAAGUGAAAAUGUGAGUGCAACAUUUUAGAACACAGUAAGUAUUUAUAAGUAUCAAAAUAUGAGUGAAAAUUUAUUAUUUAAUUGUAGUUGAAACGCAAUUCUCUCAAAUCUUUUGAAGAAAAAUUUCCAGAUAUUUGACGAUGCAUCUCUUAAAUAUUGAAGAAAAACAUUCACAGCAAGCUCGAGACUAAGUAUAAUGUACGAAUUUGGUUUUGUUUUUUUUUCAUUACUAAUUUUUUCAAUUUUUUGUUUCAGAUGACUCGAGUGAUUGAAAGUGCGUGUUGUGGAUUUUUGAGUGUUUAACAGACAUUUAGUAGUGCGCGAUUUUUUAAAUUUCGAGUGAUUAAAGUGCCAAUGGAGGGGAUCUUCAGGGAACCUGGACGCUAUAAUCGUGCUACAAGGAUCAGGAUUAAAGGUAGGUCCGUUCUAAGAAGAAGAGGGAACGACGAGGAGGCCAGGGUGAGUGAAUUUUAAUUUUUUUCUAAGUGCGGUGAAGUGUGUGAAGUGAAAAUGUGAGUGCAACAUUUUAGAACACAGUAAGUAUUUAUAAGUAUCAAAAUAUGAGUGAAAAUUUAUUAUUUAAUUGUAGUUGAAACGCAAUUCUCUCAAAUCUUUUGAAGAAAAAUUUCCAGAUAUUUGACGAUGCAUCUCUUAAAUAUUGAAGAAAAACAUUCACAGCAAGCUCGAGACUAAGUAUAAUGUACGAAUUUGGUUUUGUUUUUUUUUCAUUACUAAUUUUUUCAAUUUUUUGUUUCAGAUGACUCGAGUGAUUG